rnacentral:rRNA from 1 species
GACGAACGCUGGCGGCGUGCCUAACACAUGCAAGUCGAGCGGAGAUGAUAUGAGGAAGUUUUCGGAUGGAAUCACAUUAUUUUAGCGGCGGACGGGUGAGUAACGCGUGAGCGACCAACCUUGCACAGGGGGAUAACGGACCGAAAGGUUCACUAAUACCGCAUGAGACCACGGUGUUGCAUGACACAGAGGUCAAAGGAGCAAUCCGGUGCAAGACGGGCUCGCGUCCGAUUAGGUAGUUGGAGGGGUAACGGCCCACCAAGCCUAUGAUCGGUAGCCGACCUGAGAGGGUGAUCGGCCACAUUGGAACUGAGAUACGGUCCAAACUCCUACGGGAGGCAGCAGUGGGGAAUAUUGGGCAAUGGGGGAAACCCUGACCCAGCAACGCCGCGUGAAGGAAGAAGGUUUUCGGAUUGUAAACUUCUGUCCUUGGUGAAGAGAAGAAGACGGUAGCCAAGGAGGAAGCCCCGGCUAACUACGUG